ACCUGUUUCUUCGUCUCCUCUCCUCCUUCUUCGAUCUCCUCCUCUUACCUUCGACGUUUCCUCUUCUUGAAACGAUAGUCGAUCAAUCGACGCAUAACUUCAUCUUCUACAAUCAAUCCUUCUGAGAUCUUAUUUAUGGCUUCGUUUGGCCUUUCUCCAUCUAAGUUUAUUUAUACCUCUUUUGUUUACCCCAUCUUCUUAAUCCAUCAAAAAUUAUCUCAAACGAUGAAUUCCAACCGCAAUUCCGGCGACUACCUCCAUUGAAGAAUCUUGAGCUAUGACUUUGAAAUCCAAACAGAAAGUCACCAUCUCCACCAGAAAGUCUUAAGGUCAUAUCAGCAGAAACCACAGGAAGGCUGGAGGCUGGCGGAGAGGAGUGGCCAGGCGAGGAGCAGUGUCGAUAGAAGAGAUAGCGGUGGCGACGUCAAUUGAGAUCAGAAUAAGAAAAAAAAUAAAAGAAUUCUUCGCAAGAUCACGACUUAUCAAACCAAACACAAGGUAACAUAUUAAACUUCUCAAAUCGAAUUAUAUUCAUGUUCUUUUCUUCUCAAAUAGAAUUAUAGGUCUGAGUCACACAGAUGAAAAAAUUCAGAAUUGAAACAGGUAUGUCAGUCAUAUCUAGGUUUUUUCUCCCCUAACAUGUUAAACUUCUCAAAUCGAAUUAUAUUCGUAUUUAUUUGUAGAUUUAUUGUCGUAUCAACCACAAUAUGAAUUGUGGUAAGUGUACUUAGUAUCUCACGAGAUUUCAUUUGGUGUUAACGGUGUAUUGUCCUAUCAACCACAUUUCGACUUUUCACCUUUCAUGUUCCUGAUUAUAGCAACCUUAUGGUAGUACUAACUGCAUUUAAUAGUGAACUCUCAAGAUACACCUAACCAAAGCAUUUCUAUUUAUUGAAACAAAUAUAUGACAAUGUCAAGGAACAGCGUGAAGCCAUCUGCACAGCCAAAUAGCCGGUAGCUCAUAGAGAUCUUUCGAUCGGACUCAUGUUUUGAGGCUACCAGGCCUUGAUGACUGUCCGAUUUCUUCUUAGCGAUAACAAGUUUUGUGUAAGACCAUUGAGCUAACAUCCUAAACAAAUGAUGGCUUCUCUGUAUAUGCUAGGUAGCGUCUUUAGGCUCUCAUCUUCGUCACCAGAUCCCGUGAAGAGAGAUUGAAGCUUGUGGUACAGUCUUCUCUUACUUUGUGCCUCUGUCAUAUCUCAACUGCUCUCGGCAUGGAGAUAGGUUUGGAGUGAUCUGGCUAUACAGUCCCGUUACCUACAUGAUGUUGAGUGGAGAUAGGUUUGGAGUGAUCUCGGCAUGGAGAUAGGUUUGGAGUGAUCUCGGCAUGGAGAUAGGUUUGGAGUGAUCUGGCAUAACAUCUCUCUCGACUUACUCAAGUUUGCAAUCCGCCACAUGUUGAGUGGCAAAGCUAGGUUAAACUGUCAUCACAACAAGGGUGAAUAAAGACUAUGAUAAAGAUGAUAGAGAAGCUCAAUGAGCUGCAUCUCAAAGUACCCUCCAUGGAGUUCAACCACCAAGACAAAAAACAUCUUCAAAGAAAAGAUUUGUUACAGUGAACUCUCUGAGAUUGCUAAACAGGCUAAAAGGGGAGGAGCUGAGGUGGCCAGUUUUUGCAGACGGGAGAGAGCUUAACACAUUAACAUGACAAGUGAAAUCAGUGAUUAAGUCUAAAGGACCUGACAUUUGACACGAUUCAGCAACAUUACAUAGUCUAAGAUUGUGAAAUGAAACUAAUUUACUUUGGUUUCUUUAUACCUUUGCUUUUUACGUUCUUUGGUUGUUGUACUGUUGAGUCUGUAACUGUUACUGCUUAGUGCAUACCUAUUUGGUUAUUGAAAUAAAUAUGUAUUUUUUUUCCU